rnacentral:tRNA from 1 species
GUGAGCUUAGCUCAGUUGGUAGGGAUAAUGCAUAAUAUAUGCAAGGUCUGGGUUCGAAUCCCAGACACCACC